rnacentral:rRNA from 1 species
CCAGACUCCUACGGGAGGCAGCAGUGGGGAAUAUUGGGCAAUGGGCGCAAGCCUGACCCAGCAACGCCGCGUGAAGGAAGAAGGCUUUCGGGUUGUAAACUUCUUUUGUCAGGGAGCAAUUGAGUCCACGUGUGGGCUUAGCGAGAGUACCUGAAGAAAAAGCAUCGGCUAACUCCGUGCCAGCAGCCGCGGUAAUACGGAGGAUGCGGGCGUUAUCCGGAUUUAUUGGGUUUAAAGGGUGCGUAGGCGGAAUAUCAAGUCAGCGGUAAAAAUUCGGGGCUCAACCCCGUCGUGCCGUUGAAACUGAUGUUCUUGAGUGGGCGAGAAGUAUGCGGAAUGCGUGGUGUAGCGGUGAAAUGCAUAGAUAUCACGCAGAACUCCGAUUGCGAAGGCAGCAUACCGGCGCCCAACUGACGCUGAAGCACGAAAGCGUGGGUAUCGAACAGGAUUAGAUACCCUCGUAAA